rnacentral:misc_RNA from 1 species
GAUGAAGAACGCAGCGAAAUGCGAUAAGUAAUGUGAAUUGCAGAAUUCAGUGAAUCAUCGAAUCUUUGAACGCACCUUGCGCUCCUUGGUAUUCCGAGGAGCAUGCCUGUUUGAGUGUCAUGAAAUUCUCAACCUUUUCAGCUUUCUUUGUUGAUCAGGCUUGGAUGUGGGAGUAUGCGGGCUUCUCAGAAGUCGGCUCUCCUGAAAUGCAUUAGCGGGACCUUUGUUGCCUGGCUUUGGUGUGAUAAUUAUCUACGCCAUUGUAGUCAAGCAGCUUAAAAUGAGGUUUCAGCUUCUAACCGUCUCCCCUGAGACAACUUUUUGACAAUUUGACCUCAAAUCAGGUAGGACUACCCGCUGAACUUAAGCAUAUCAAUAGCGGAGGA